CCUCCUCGCCCCGCCCCCAGUGUCCCGCCCCUCCCCUGGGGCUCCACCUCCUGGACCUGGCCCCGUCUGCGCGCUCCUCUCUCUCCCCGCCUACACAGUCCCGGUCCUCUGGAUGCUCUCUUCCCAGUCCUGGACACGCAGUGCUCAUAGAUCGGUCAGGCUGGAGGACCCGAGCGAUCAAAGUGAUGAAAUGGACAGGGAGGGCCAGCCUCUUGGCCACAGUCGCCUGGUUUACGCCUGGCAGAACUGGGACAAUCCACCCUCCCCCACCCCUCCCCGCUGACUCCCCUCCUAUAGCUCCCACUGCCUCCUCGACCCUUCUGGAAAGAAAAAGCAUGUCCACACUGGUCCACAAUACGAGGUUACAGGCUGGGAAGUGCAGAAGGCUAAAGAUAUUCAGACUUUGAAUCCUUUGCAGCCCACACCCCACCUCCAGUUCCAACUCCUCCACUUCCUUCCAUUUUCUUACUCCAAGAACUCAACCCCUCAACCCUUUGAUGUCAAGAAAUGGGUGAGUAGGGACUGUGGCCAUGGGGAAAGGUCUGCAGGGCAAAAUAGUAAACAGGAUCAUCCUCAAUGAGUGUGGGGUGAGCUGGGAACUGCAGUGUACACAGAGCCACUUGUGCACACACACUCACGGUUUUCAGAGCCAGCAUGGCUACCCCUUGGAGGCUCAUGUUAUCUCUCCUCCUUGCAUUUUCCUGCUUGUGCCCUCUGCCUGUCCCCCUUGGCCAUUUACAAACCUAUUGCUCUUGCUCGUUCUCCCUUGCCCAGACUAGAGUGCAGUGGCACCAUCUCUGCUCACUGCAACCUCCAACUCCUGGGCUCAAGUGAUCCUCCCACCUCAGCCUCCCUAGUAGCUGGGAGUACAGGCACGUGCCAUGACGCCCGGCUAAAUUUUUCUAUUUUUUGUAGAGACAGGGUUUUACCAUGUUGCCCAGGCUGGUCUCAAACUCCUGGCCUCAAGUGAUCCUCCUGCCUCGGCCUCCCAAAUUGCUGGGGUUACAGGCGUGAGCUACUGAACCUGGCCUUCUCCUCUCCUUCUUAUAUCUCUUUCUCCAUUCAUUCUUCUUUAACCUUUGCCUCCUCUACUGGAACAGGGGUGACCCUGGGGUGAGGCAAUAGGUUGGGUAUGGUUCAUUCUCAUUCACAGAUCUUGGUUUAACCUCAGCUGUGUCAGCAUGCAGAAGACAAAAACACCCACCUUUCAAAGUUGCCAUACCCCUGUCCCCACCAGGGAUAAAAGGGACCUGCGUGUAAGAUGCAUGACUUAGGCCAGGCACGGUGGCUUACGCCUGUAAUCUCAGCACUUUGGGAGGCUGAGGUGGGCGGAUCACCUGGGGUCAGGAGUUCGAGACCAGCCUGACCAACAUGGAGAAACCCCGUCUCUACUAAAAAUACAAAAUUAGCUGGGCAUGGUGGCACACGCCUGUAAUCCCAGCUACUCAGGAGGCUGAGGCAGGAGAAUCACUUGAGCCUGGGAGAUGGAGGUUGCAGUGAGCCGAGAGCACGCCAUUGCACUCCAGCCUGGGCAACAAGAGCGAAAAUCCAUCUCAAAAAAAAAAAAAAAAAGAAAAAGAAAAAGAAAAAGAUGCAUGACUCAGGCUCAGGGAUGGAGAGGGAAGGACUCAGGACUUCAGAGCCUGCAAUACAGGAUUGGGCCAGACCCAGUGAAUUUUAUGGCUCUAGACCAGGGGUUGGUGAACUACUGCCCAUUGGCCAAAUUCAAACUGCCGCUUGUUUUUUUGUUUUUUUUUUUUCUGAGACGGUCUCACUCUGUUGCCCAGGCUGGAGUGCAGUAGCAUGAUCUGGGCUCACGGCAACCUCCACCUCCCGGGCUCAAGCAAUCCUCUCACCUCACCUCAGCCUCCUGAGUAGCUGGGACUACAAGGACACACUACCACACUCCGCUAAUUUUUAAAAUUUUUUGUAGAGAUGGGAUCUCACUAUAUUGUCCAGGCUUGUCUCAAAAUCCUGGGCUCAAGCGACUCUCCCACCUCAGCUUCCCAAGGUGCUGGGAUUACAGGCGUGAGCCUCUGCUCCCUGUUUUUGUAAAUAAAGUUUUAUUGAAACAGCCA